CAGUAGCAUCCGGGUGACGACCAUGUCAAAAGUAGUUUACUUUGGAGUUAUUUUGUUAGAAAAGGAUGUAGAAUUUUUAGUUUUGAAAGAGUUAUAGUUUUAACGGUGAAAAGUUUAGCCAAUUUUGUUGACAAACAGUUUUAGUUAGUUUGCGAUAUGUUGCGCCGUCAAAACGACGAUGCGCGCGCGGCAAGCCAGAACUCACAGUCUCACCUUAUUAGCUAUUUUUUUUCAGUCACGAAGUGCUCAAGUACUUUCGUGAUUAUGCAAUAAAAGUAUAAGUCACAUGAGUUGCAUUCGAAGACGCAUAUGGCAUUCUUGGAAAUUCUUGGAAAUUACGACUAGAAGAAUCAAAAUGAAUUUUGUUCAUUCUUGUAUCGUCAUAAACAUUAUUUUUGUUACUUAACAUAUAUCACAUUUUUGCUAUUAAUAACCGUCGAGUCCAAAGAGAAGUUUUGUACGAAGAAAAACAACCUGAAUUAAUCCCAUAGCUUGAAACAUUCGUGCA